rnacentral:rRNA from 1 species
AUUGAACGCUGGCGGCAUGCUUUACACAUGCAAGUCGAACGGUAACAGGUUAAGCUGACGAGUGGCGAACGGGUGAGUAAUGCAUCGGAACGUGCCCGGUCGUGGGGGAUAACGCAGCGAAAGCUGCGCUAAUACCGCAUACGAUCUAAGGAUGAAAGCGGGGGACCGUAAGGCCUCGCGCGAUCGGAGCGGCCGAUGUCAGCUUAGGUAGUUGGUGGGGUAAAGGCUCACCAAGCCAACGAUCUGUAGCUGGUCUGAGAGGACGACCAGCCACACGGGGACUGAGACACGGCCCAGACUCCUACGGGAGGCAGCAGUGGGGAAUUUUGGACAAUGGGCGAAAGCCUGAUCCAGCAAUGCCGCGUGCAGGAAGAAGGCCUUCGGGUUGUAAACUGCUUUUGUACGGAGCGAAAAGGUCUCCACUAAUACAGGGGGCUCAUGACGGUACCGUAAGAAUAAGCACCGGCUAACUACGUGCCAGCAGCCGCCGUAA